AAAUGAUGAGAUUUGUCAACUGGAACUU
rnacentral:piRNA from 1 species